GACGAACGCUGGCGGCGUGCCUAAUACAUGCAAGUAGAACGCUGAAGGAGGAGCUUGCUUCUCUGGAUGAGUUGCGAACGGGUGAGUAACGCGUAGGUAACCUGCCUGGUAGCGGGGGAUAACUAUUGGAAACGAUAGCUAAUACCGCAUAAUAGUAGAUGUUGCAUGACAUUUGCUUAAAAGGUGCAAUUGCAUCACUACCAGAUGGGCCUGCGUUGUAUUAGCUAGUUGGUGGGGUAACGGCUCACCAAGGCGACGAUACAUAGCCGACCUGAGAGGGUGAUCGGCCACACUGGGACUGAGACACGGCCCAGACUCCUACGGGAGGCAGCAGUAGGGAAUCUUCGGCAAUGGACGGAAGUCUGACCGAGCAACGCCGCGUGAGUGAAGAAGGGUUUCGGAUCGUAAAGCUCUGUUGUAAGAGAAGAACGAGUGUGAGAGUGGAAAGUUCACACUGUGACGGUAUCUUACCAGAAAGGGACGGCUAACUACGUG
rnacentral:rRNA from 1 species